AAUAGAUACCCGGGUAGUCCACGCCGUAAACGAUGAGUGCUAAGUGUUAGGGGGUUUCCGGCCCCUUAGUGCUGCAGCUAACGCAUUAAGCACUCCGCCUGGGGAGUACGGUCGCAAGACUGAAACUCAAAGGAAUUGACGGGGGCCCGCACAAGCGGUGGAGCAUGUGGUUUAAUUCGAAGCAACGCGAAGAACCUUACCAGGUCUUGACAUCCCGCUGACCGCUAUGGAGACAUAGUUUUCCCUUCGGGGACAGCGGUGACAGGUGGUGCAUGGUUGUCGUCAGCUCGUGUCGUGAGAUGUUGGGGUUAAGUCCCGCAACGAGCGCAACCCCUUGUCCUUAGUUGCCAUCAUUCAGUUGGGCACUCUAAGGAGACUGCCGGCUAAAAGUCGGAGGAAGGUGGGGAUGACGUCAAAGUCAUCAUGCCCCUUAUGACCUGGGCUACACACGUGCUACAAUGGACGGUACAAACGGUUGCGAAGUCGCGAGAUGGAGCUAAUCCGAGAAAACCGUUCUCAGUUCGGAUUGCAGGCUGC
rnacentral:rRNA from 1 species